UACGUAGGUGGCAAGCGUUAUCCGGAAUUAUUGGGCGUAAAGCGCGCGCAGGCGGUUUUUUAAGUCUGAUGUGAAAGCCCCCGGCUCAACCGGGGAGGGUCCUUGGAAACUGGGAAACUUGAGUGCAGAAGAGAAGAGUGGAAUUCCACGUGUAGCGGUGAAAUGCGUAGAGAUGUGGAGGAACACCAGUGGCGAAGGCGACUCUUUGGUCUGUAACUGACGCUGAGGCGCGAAAGCGUGGGGAGCAAACAGG
rnacentral:rRNA from 1 species